rnacentral:misc_RNA from 1 species
GGAGAAUGUGAAAGGACCCGUGGUGGUUACUGGAGCUAGUGGCUAUGUUGGUUCAUGGCUUGUAAUGAAGCUUCUGCAAUAUGGCUACACGGUUCGGGCUACUGUGAGAGACCCUAGAGACCUAAGAAAGACCAAACCUUUACUAGAUCUUCCUGGAGCUGAUGAACGGCUAACCAUUUGGAAAGCAGAUCUUAGCGAGGAUGAGAGCUUUGAUGAGGCAAUCAAUGGUUGCACCGGUGUGUUCCAUGUCGCAACUCCGAUGGAUUUCGAUUCCGAAGAUCCGGAGAAUGAAGUGAUCAAGCCCACAAUAAAUGGAGUACUUGGUAUCAUGAAAUCUUGCAAAAAAGCAGGGACGGUGAAGCGUGUCAUUUUCACUUCCUCUGCUGGAACUGUGAACGUGCAUGAACAUCAAAUGCCCGAGUAUGACGAGAGCUCAUGGAGCGACAUCGACUUCAUCAGACGCGUCAAGAUGACUGGAUGGAUGUACUUUGUAUCUAAAAUCCUAGCAGAGAAAGCUGCAUGGGAUUUUGCAAAGGAGAAUGAUAUUCAAUUUAUAAGCAUUAUUCCAACUUUGGUUGUUGGUCCUUUCAUCACCUCAACUAUGCCUCCCAGUAUGCUAACAGCUUUGUCACUGAUCACAGGGAAUGAAGCCCACUACUCGAUCUUAAACCAAAUCCAGCUUGUUCACUUGGAUGACGUAUGCAAUGCCCAUAUUUUCCUCUUUGAGAAUCCAGAAGCGAGUGGGAGAUACAUAUGUUCUUCUUAUGAUACCACAAUUUAUGAUCUUGCAAGAAAGAUGAAAGAUAGAUAUCCUCAAUAUGCCAUCCCCCAAAAGUUUGAAGGUAUUGAUGACCAAAUUAAACCUGUGCACUUCUCUUCAAAGAAACUUAUGGAUCUUGGUUUCAAGUAUCAGUACACUUUUGAGGAGAUGUUCGAUGAAGGAAUCCGUUCAUGUAUCGAAAAAAAUCUGAUACCACGCCAAACACAAAAGAGAUACUAUGCUGAUGAUAAACUGAAUCCAGGUUGCACUAAGAUGGCUAAUCAUAAACUGGAUUUGGGUGUCAUAAAGUUGAAUUCGCUGGACGAGAUUGUGAGAGGCACAAUGAACAAAUCUCCGUUGCUCUUCAGUAAGCUUUGGAGGACCAUAUGAAAGUAUGCCAUACUAUGUAGUAGUAAUAACUAUAGUCGUGAUUUAUGAUUCAUAUGUAUGUGUGAGGCACUGAGCUG